rnacentral:rRNA from 1 species
UAUGCCCUACGGGGCGCAGCAGUGGGGAAUAUUGGGCAAUGGGCGCAAGCCUGACCCAGCAACGCCGCGUGAAGGAAGAAGGCUUUCGGGUUGUAAACUUCUUUUAUGAGGGACGAAACAAAUGACGGUACCUCAUGAAUAAGCCACGGCUAACUACGUGCCAGCAGCCGCGGUAAUACGUAGGUGGCAAGCGUUAUCCGGAUUUACUGGGUGUAAAGGGCGUGUAGGCGGGGCUGCAAGUCAG